CGGGAUGUAGCUCAAUUGGCUAGAGCGCUCCGUUGUCUGCGGAGAUGUUGGGGGUUCAAGUCCCCUCAUCCUGGC
rnacentral:tRNA from 2 species